UACGUAGCAGCAAGCGUUGUUCGGAAUUACUGGGCGUAAAGAGUGUGUAGGCGGUGUUCUAAGUCUGUUGUGAAAUCUCCCGGCUUAACUGGGAGGGUGCGGCGGAAACUGGAAUGCUAGAGGAUGGGAGAGGUAAGCGGAAUUCCUGGUGUAGCGGUGAAAUGCGUAGAUAUCAGGAGGAACACCGGUGGUGUAGACGGCUCACUGGACCGUAACUGACGCUGAGACACGAAAGCGUGGGUAGCAAACAGG
rnacentral:rRNA from 1 species